GUGGUGCGGAGCGUUCGGCGGGCGGCGGCCGGGCGGCCCAGGGGCUGCCGCGGGACUCGGGGCGCAGCCGAGUGGCUGCAGGGGUGGAGUGGGCCGGACGAGCCGCGGGGCCCGGGUGCCGCGGGUUCGAGGCCGGGCCCCGCGCGAGGAGGCCGCGCCACCCCGGGGGAGCUGCCCGGCAGCGAGUUUGCCCCGCUGCCGAAAGAAGGCGGGAGCCGGCAGGGGCCUUCGAAACCCCCUGGCAACCCAGGCCCGGAGUCCUUGGGGAGCGGCUGUUUCCUGGGACGCCCUCCCGGACACCCCCGCUGCAGGGUUACGGUUCUGGGCCCCCGGCAGAAGGCUCCUCCGGGUGACCCCCGGCGGGGCCCUGCGAGCCGCGGGAGCCGACCCCGGGGCCUCGAGCCGGGAGGAAGGGGGCUUCCGGAGGCGGAGGGCCGGGGGCCGAGGGAGCCGGGCCUCUCGGACGCGGGGCAGGGCAGCGCCCGGGCUGGAGACGGACUCUGGGACCCUCGGCUGCGGGGGUCUCAGCGACCUGCCCCGCGGCAAGCGCGGCCGCGGAGUGGCCUACCGGGGACCCUCCCCCAGAGGGACCGGCCCGGGGCGGGGAGAUGAACGGCUUCAGCACGGAGGAGGACAGCCGCGAAGGGCCCCCCGCCGCCCCAGCUGCCGCCGCCCCGGGCUACGGCCAGAGCUGCUGCCUCAUCGAGGACGGCGAGCGCUGCGUCCGGCCCGCGGGCAACGCCUCCUUCAGCAAGAGGGUCCAGAAGAGCAUCUCGCAGAAGAAACUCAAGCUGGACAUCGACAAGAGCGUAAGGCACCUAUAUAUCUGUGAUUUUCACAAAAAUUUCAUCCAGAGUGUCCGAAAUAAAAGGAAGAGGAAGACAAGUGACGAUGGCGGAGAUUCUCCCGAGCACGACACUGACAUUCCUGAGUGCUCUCCACCUGCCUGAAGCAAGAACAGCUCUUUUAGAGGCAGGUUGAUCUGUUCCAGCUGCAGGUGAACACCCUACGACGUUAUAAACGACACUACAAGUUGCAGACCAGACCAGGCUUCAAUAAGGCCCAGUUAGCAGAAACUGUGAGUCGACACUUCAGGAACAUACCUGUGAAUGAAAAAGAGACCCUUGCCUACUUCAUCUACAUGGUGAAGAGUAACAAGAGUAGACUGGACCAGAAAUCGGAGGGUGGCAAGCAGCUUGAGUGAGGAUGAAGCACAUCUUAAAGGAAUGAAGUGUAAUGCUUGAUGCACAGGUGAUAUCUACUACAUUUAAGCCCAUAAAGACUGUUAAAUAUUAUUGUAAAUAAAAAAGUUUGAAUGAUGAAUACUGUAAAUCUUUUUGGUCAGGAGGAUUAUAUUCUCAUGAUUCAGCAUGUGUAUAGAAAGACUUUCUUUUACGAUAACUCUGGACUAAAAAAAUCAGGAUCAUUAAAAGAAUUAAAAACUAUGUAUUUCAGCAUUCAACAAAGCAUUAAAUCAAUUCUACUGGAAAUGUGGGAUAAGAAAUAUUUUGGUAAUCACCUUAUCCACCAGGCUGCCACGUGUGAGCUGUAGCUUGGAAUAGCAGCAAGGUGCAAUUGGCCAUGGAAGUGCAUGAGCAGACCCACAUCUGGACUUGCAUGCUGCCCGCUGGCGACAUAGAUAUCCCGCCCGCUUUGUUGCAAGCUUUGUCAUUUAUCAGCAGAUCAGUUUGACACUGGUCCCCCUCACUCACCCUGUGCCUUGUACACAGUAGGCACUCAAUCAGUAGGUAUUGGCUAAUUGAGCUGUCACUAAUAGUGCCAGCCUUGUAACAUCCGCUUCACACCUCUCAUGACUGAGACCUCUGCCAUUUCUGUUGCUCACCACUUAACUGCUAGAAUGUGGAGGAAAUCCUGAUGCACCAACAAGGAAGUUUCUGAUCAGAUAAGGAUUUCAGGACAGUUGCAUGUGCAAAACUAUUCGUUGAGGUUCCAGAAACACUGAUAUAGAGACCCUCACAGAAGAUACGGUCCCUUAUGCACCCCACUAUGCUUCACUCUUUGGGGUGCAGUUAGAUAUUAUGACUUCAGCCAAGCUUCUUGGUAAUAAAUGCAUUGACACACUGACAUAUUUAGUAGGUUGGGGCAAGUAUUUUUAGAAGUUUUCAUCCUAAGUUCACAACCACCAUGCAAGCUGCCAGGGGCCAUGUGAUUCCUGCCCAGAAGUUCAGCUUAGGAUUGAAAGUCUGGCUGGCCUUGACUCCCUGGGCUCUGGUCAUCAGCAAAUCAUGAGUUUGGGCAACAAAGGUCAAUUCCAUCUGAUGCUCAUUUUUGUGAACAAUUUGCCUCCCUCUUAGGGAGAAAGAUUGCUAAAAUAAUUUUUGAAAAUUACCUAAUUUUUUUGUUGUUCAAAACGUUGAACUCCUCAAUCUAAUUAUAUCAGAGCCAAAGUAUCCUGUGAAAACAAAGCUUUAUAUCCAAAAAUGUGCUUUUGCAAAAUUCUUUAAUCUGUGUAAUGGAGGGCAGAGGGUAUGGGGUAGGAGGGUGGGAGAAAGAAAAGAAAAGAAUUUGGAUUCUAAUUUAUGACCAUCUUGACAUAUGGUCAAAGGUGUCAUUUUCCUACUCAGUUUCAAUUCUGAGUUAAUUUCUUAAGCCUUAAAUAAUAAGAACAAUGGACAGCCUGGCCUGGCAGAGAGUUUCACAGAUGACUUAAUCUGAGCACCAUCACAGAGAAGUCAGGACUAAACCCCCUACUGAGCAGGGCGGCGGAGUGUCCAAAGGUCUCAGUUCUGUGGAGCAGAGUACCACGCUUUCUGUGGAAUGGGGACAGGGUCACCACGCUCACUAAAAUGCAGUAUGUUCCAUUGCAGCAAAGCUUUCGCCUGUGUUCAAAAUGCAUGUCUAGCAGAUUGCAGCCUUUUAAAUUAAAUAUAUAUAAAUGGUUGUAUAUAGAAUAUACUCUGGACUGUGAGGGCAUCCUAUUUUGGUAUGCCUCCUGGCUGUGGAUGGCAUGUCCAGUGCUCUGUGAGUGUUUUCAGUCAUUCACAUUCACUAUGUGUUUAGAGAUUCUCUCCCUGCUUACAGCUGAAGGAUGUUGAUACAGGCAUCAAGAAGGCUGAGGGGCAGAUGGGGCCUGCAGGUUAAGGCAUUGUUAACUUGCUCCAUGGAAAUGUCCAUAUCUUAAUGAGUAAAAAAGUGUAUUUUUCUGAUACGUAAACCAGAAUUGUGGGCGUGUAGGUCACAUCACUAUUUCUUUAGCAGCAAAUCUGUUUUCCCAGUUGAGAGAGACAAUAGCUUCUGCACAAGAAUAUAUGAUGGUAGGAUCCAUCUGUUCAAUUGUGUCUGAAAGAAUCUUUAUUCCAAAGCGAAACCUGGGGAAAUGUUUUACCUUCAGCCAGAUGCUGUGUGUGUACUUGGGUCCCUUGUCUUUCCUCUAAGGAGAGGUGCUUGUGGAAAGUGGAGGUUGUGGGCAUCUUUUCAACCUUUUCAAUCUGACCUUUCAACAGGUCAGGUGAGAGAAAAGACAAAGCUAUUUGAACCUAUGUUUUUCUUAUGUCCAGAAAUCUGUUCUUUCAUCAAACCACUAAACCACUCGCCUUAGCCUCUUCUGCAGUUUCUGGUGGCUCUAUCUGUGGGCAAGGGACUCCUGCCUGUGAGAAGUGGCCAGGCCCUCCAGAGCAACGGGGUCUGGCUUCAGGGAGCAGUGGGGUGUGGGGAAAGCAAUGUUCAUCUUGGCUGCUCCAUUUUUAUACCAUCCAUCAAGGACUCUUGCGCUUCUCUCCACCUGUGACGUAGCAGCAUUGCCUUCUUUCCUCUUGGUGCUUCUGGGCAAAACUGGAAUUUGAAAUCCAGAACUGGCGUUGUCUUCUUAAAGAGUAUGGUUCCUGCCUCAGUUCCAGCCUGGUAUGGUUCUUUGAUAUGCCCUGAAGGUUCUCACAUGGAAACAUCAGUAUCCUGCCAUUCAUGUUGUUUUAAGAUGUUUUAAAAACCAAUGGACAAACUUCUUGCUUCAAGGAACAAACUCUUAGGUUGGCAACAGCAUAUAAAAAAAAAGAUCACAGCUGAAUCUCAUGAAAGAUUAAAAACCAAAGGAUUCAAGACCGGUGUUGUAAAAUGAAGAGGAAUUUUACUUACAUGUUACAGCUGCCAAGUUUUUAGAUGUUCCUGUCAUAGCUAAAUAGUCACUGCUAGCCUUUCAGAGAACAGAUAGUAACAAUUGUUUGCAGCUGCAGUGUUGCAUCUAAUUUUGGUGUUUAGGCUUUUUAUUUUGUGGGAAGCUUUUUGUUAAUAUCCUGCAGGGCAACUGCCUGUUGGGAGGGAGAGGAUGGAAGAAGGAGCUUACUCUGGGGGCCUUGCCUAUUGAGGGAGGCUGUUGCCCAGAGCAGUUGCUUCAUGGAAGUCAUCCAAAGGCGCUCUCAGUCAUUACAAUGACAGGAUCUCAAAGUUGGGAAAGGGCUGUUAAGUCAUCCAGUCUAGUCUCCACAUAGGUGCUGACAUUCUGCCUACAACCAUCCCACCAAGGGGUUGAGCAGUCUGGACUUAAACACCUCCGAGGACAGAGAACCCACUACCUCGUGGAGAAGCCUGUUCUUUGUAAACCUCUGGCUUUUCUAUGUUCUCUGUAAUUUCCAUCUUAGUCUCUGCCCCAUGGGGGCCACAUGGGACAAGUUAUUUUUGGCAAAGCACCUAAUUGCUGGCACUGUCCCAAAGCAUAGCGUUUGCCUUUUGGAAAGAAACAAUGCUAGGACAUGGACACUUUGGUACACUGUCCUUACCCCUGAGUAUUAGUCCACUCAGUUCCUUGUUGGAGAAUGUUGAGAAAACCCUACUGGCUGGCUUGUUUCUGCCAAAGCUUGGGGAGAGGAGAGGGGGAUGAGAAGAUGUUAGCAGCCUGCUAAACCUCAGACAGAUGAGGACUCAGUUCUGUGCUUGCCCCACAAAAACGGAUGCUCACAUCAUCAGGAAAUUGUUCAGCUGGAGGAUUUAUAACUUCGUUGCUUUGCAUGAAGUUUAAAGUUUUCAUGGUUGCCCAGGGCUUGUACCUUAGAUUCCUGUAAGGACUUUGCACUGUUUUUGCUGAGAAAACAACGCUUCAGGACUUAAGGUCUAAGCGUCAGAGAAGUGCCGUAUUUUCAAGGUGGAAAGUCUGUUAAGCUUGCUGUUGUCCAAUCAUCCGUUUUUAGAGAUGGGGAAACUAAAACUCAAAAAGAUGUGCCUGAGGUCAUAUGGCAUUAUCAGAACCAACCUCUGGCCCUCUUGACCUGUCUAGCAUUCUUUCUUUCUGACCUAUAGGAUGACUCUAAUUCAGUCUAAAUCGGCUGCCCUCAGAUUCUUGAGAACUUAAAAUUGAGCAGAAAUUCCCAAGGCCAACCUAGCUCUCAGGGACCAACCUGCAGAACUCAAGAUUGAGCGAAAUGUUUAGGCCAGUUGAGUUUUGCAAAAUGAGUGGUAAGGGAAAACAGAUCUAGCCUGUUAUUUAAAACCAGGGUUCAAAAGCCCUAUUGGGAGAGGUAGUAUUGUCCUAGCAUUUAAAUUCUCAUGAAAUGUGCUUGGUCUGUGAUCUCUUGGUCAGAUAUCUGCCUUCCAGGCGAUCCUUUGAGGUUGUGUAAUUCAGCUGGCCCUGGCUCCUGGUCCCUGUUACUGAGCUGGGCAGUCGAACCGAAGGGCAGAUGAGCUCAAGAUCAUGCCUUGGGAAGCAUGGUGCUCUAGGGGUGCCUUUUUAUUCCUUUCAUUGUAUUAUAGACUGUUUCCAAGUUUAUGGUUAGAAAUGGUAAAGUGGGUCUGGUGUUUUGAGGUAGAACCCAGCCUAGGGCAAGAUAUGAACUGUUCUUGAGGUAGAAAUGUCUACAGUCAGUUGUUUCAUCUAGCUUGCAUCUUAAAACACAAACCCUUCAGUUGCUUUCACUUAAUGCACACAUUUGCCAAUGACAGAGGGUUAUACAGGAUCCUUCUUUUACAUUUCUAUUGUCUGCUACGCUCAUCAGAGUAUAUUUUGGGGUACAAGGUUUUGGGGGUUUUUUUUCCCAUUUUGUAACUGCCUUAUUGAAAAGUAAGUGCCCUUCCAUUCCAGGCCUCCUCAUAUUGUACUUGUUUCCUGCCAAAUCUGGGGGAUCAUUUGUAUUUUAACUUCGUAAUCUAUGGCUCUGUACUGUUGAAAGGCUCUCAAUUCUGUGGGGUCUCCUUAGUAUGUAUGUGACUUUUCAUGUUGCAAUAUCACACGAUGGGAUGGCCCGACUUUUGCUCUUAAUAAAUAAUCUGAAUGAGUAAGAGA